rnacentral:lncRNA from 1 species
GGGGGGGGGGGGGGGGGGGGGGGGGGGGGGGGGGGGGGGGGGGGGGGGGGGGGGGGGGGGGGGGGGGGGGGGGGGGGGGGGGGGGGGGGGGGGGGGGGGGGGGGGGGGGGGGGGGGCCCUCUUUUAAUUCCCUUCCAGGACCCUCUUUUAUCCCCUUCCAGGACCUUCUUUAUCCCUUCCAGGACCCUCUUUUACCCCCUUCCAGGACCCUCCUCUGCCCCCUUCCAGGACCCUCUUUAUCCCUUCCAGGACCUUCUUUAUCCCUUCCAGGACCCUCUUUUAAUUCCCUUCCAGGAACCUCUUUUAUCCCCUUCCAGGACCCACCUCUAUCCCCUUCCAGGACCCUCCUUUUCCUUUUCCCUUUUUUUUUCCCUUUUCCCUUUUCCCUUUCCCAGUCCGAUCUGGGAUCAGCUGGGACACGGAGGGAUUUGGGAUGGAGGAAAAACGCAAAUUCCUCCUGGGAGGGGGGAGCAGAGAGAUUUGGGGUCCCUCAGGAUGGAGGAAAAACCCAAAGAGCCCCAAAUUCCCUCUUGGGAAGGACUUGGAGGGAUUUGGGAUGGAGGAAAAACCCCAAAAAGCCCAAAACCUCCACCUGAGAAGGGCAAGGAGAGAUUUGGGGUCCCCAGGAUGGAGGAAAAACCCAAAAAAAGCCCCAAAUUCGCUCCUGAGAGGGGCACGGAGGGAUUUGGGAUCCCCAGGGUGGAGGAAAAACCCAAAAAUCCCCCAUCCCAUCCUGGGAAGGGCAUGGAGGGAUUUGGGAUGGAGGGAAAACCCAAAAAACCCAA